UCCCUGGUGGUCCAGUGGCUAAGAGUCCGUACUCCCAAUGCGGGACCCAGGUUCGAUCCCUGGUCAGGGAA
rfam:Ovis aries breed Texel chromosome 1, whole genome shotgun sequence.